GGGCCCGCACAAGCGGUGGAGUAUGUGGUUUAAUUCGAUGCAACGCGAAGAACCUUACCAGGGUUUGACAUCCUGCGAAUCUCUUGGAAACAGGAGAGUGCCUUCGGGAACGCAGUGACAGGUGGUGCAUGGCUGUCGUCAGCUCGUGUCGUGAGAUGUUGGGUUAAGUCCCGCAACGAGCGCAACCCACGUCUUUAGUUGCCAGCAUUUAGUUGGGCACUCUAGAGAGACUGCCAGUGACAAACUGGAGGAAGGCGGGGACGACGUCAAGUCAUCAUGGCCCUUACAUCCUGGGCUACACACGUACUACAAUGCUACGGACAAAGGGCAGCAAGUUCGCGAGGACAAGCAAAUCCCAUAAACCGUGGCUCAGUUCAGAUCGUAGGCUGCAACUCGCCUACGUGAAGGCGGAAUCGCUAGUAAUCG
rnacentral:rRNA from 1 species